UUGUAAAGCACUAAGUGCAUUCGAUGGAUGCCUUGGAGUUAGAUGGAGAUGAAGGACGUGGCCAACUGCGAUAUGCCUCGGUGAGCUGUAAGCAAGCAUAGACCCGGGGAUUUCCGAAUGGGGAAACCCAAUCCGAGUGAUGUCGGAUUAUUACAUCUCUGAAUCUAUAGGAGAUGUAAGUCUAACGCGGAGAAUUGAAACAUCUUAGUAACCGCAGGAAAAUAAAACAAAAUGUGAUUUCCUUAGUAGCGGCGAGCGAAAGGGAAACAGCCUAAACCCCGAAUAAUCGGGGGGUCGUGGGACUCAAGCUGCGUCGCGCUGGAUAUAUAGUUGAACUACUCUGGAAAGGUAGACCAUAGAGGGUGAUAGUCCCGUAAACAAAAUGUUGAUAGCGUGACAAUUGAGCACCCAAGUAGGUCGGGACACUAGAAAUCCUGACUGAAUUUACCAGGACCAUCUGGUAAGGCUAAAUACAUUCUAACUACCGAUAGUGAACCAGUACCGUGAGGGAAAGGUGAAAAGCACCCCGGAAGGGGAGUGAAAUAGUACCUGAAAUCGAGUGCAUAAAAUCAGUCGAAGUCCGCCAUCUGGUGGAUGACGGCGUGCCUUUUGUAUAAUGAGCCGGUGAGUUACUUUUGGCAGCAGGCUAAAUCCGACACGGAUGUAACCAUAGCGAAAGCGAGUCUGAAUAAGGCGCCAUUGUUGUUAGGAGUAUACCCGAAACCGAGUGAUCUACCCAUGUCCAGGUUGAAGAUACGGUAACACGUAUUGGAGGACCGCACCUACUGAAGCUACAAUUUCAGAGGAUGAGGUGUGGGUAGGGGUGAAAGGCCAAUCAAACUCGGCGAUAUCUGGUUCUCUCCGAAAUCUGUUUAGGCAGGAACUCAUAUCGACACUAUUGGGAGUAAAGCACUGAUUGGACAAGGGGUCCCAAAAGACUACCAAGUCCAGUCAAACUCAGAACACCAGUAGUCAAUGUAUGGGAUUCAGUAUGUGGGGGAUAAGCUCCACAGGCGAGAGGGAAACAACCCAGACUAUCAGCUAAGGUCUCUAAAUGUAUACUAAGUGAUAAAGGAUGUUUAAUUGCAAAAACAGCCAGGAUGUUGGCUUAGAAGCAGCCAUUCAUUUAAAGAGUGCGUAAUAGCUCACUGGUCGAGUGAUUCUGCACCAAAGAUGAUCGAGACUAAGUAUACUACCGAAGCUAUAGAUUUUUUCCCAUUUUGGGAAAAGAUGGUAGGAGAGCAUUCUGUAGGGUGAUGAAGGUGUACCGAAAGGUAUGCUGGAGCUAUCAGAAGAGAUUAUGCCGGCAUAAGUAGUGUAAAUCUCGGUGAGAAUCCGAGACACCGUAAGCCUAAGGUUUCCUGAGUAAAGCUAAUCUGCUCAGGGUUAGUCGGUCCCUAAGGUCAGGCCGAAAGGCGUAGCCGAUGGGAAAGCAGUUAAUAUUCUGCUACCCGAUAAACACAGUGAUGGGAUGACGCAGUAAUAAAGAGAAGUCUGGUGUUGGAAAUCCAGAUUUAAGCACGUAGACAGGAUUGGCAGGCAAAUCCACCAAUCUAUUGUCAAGGUGCGAAUACGAGCCGCAUUAAGCGGCGAAAGUUCUCUGAAAACUGCCAAGAAAUAGUCUCUAAACGUUAACUGUUUAUCGGACCGUACCACAAACCGACACAGGUAGGCGAGGACGAAUAUCCUAAGGUGAUCGAGAUAACUCUGGUUAAGGAACUCGGCAAAAUGGCCCCGUAACUUCGGAAGAAGGGGUGCCAUCGUAAGUGUAAGGUUUUACACCUGAAGCUAACGUUGGCCGCAGUAAAUUGGCCCAAGCGACUGUUUACCAAAAACACAGGUCUAUGCAAAGUAGUAAUACUAAGUAUAUAGACUGACACCUGCUCGGUGCCGGAAGGUUAAUUGGAUGGCUUAGUUCUGAUUCGUUCAGAGCAAAGGCUUGAAAUGAAGCCCCGGUAAACGGCGGCCGUAACUAUAACGGUCCUAAGGUAGCGAAAUUCCUUGUCGGGUAAGUUCCGACCUGCACGAAUGGUGUAACGACUUGGGCGCUCUCUCAACCAGAGACUCGGUGAAAUUGCAGUGGCGGUGAAGAUGCCGCCUACCCGCGAAAGGACGGAAAGACCCCGUGAACCUUUACUGCAGUUUGGCAUUGUAUUUUAGUAUCGUAUGUGCAGGAUAGGUGGGAGGCUUUGAACUUCCGACGCUAGUCGGAAUGGAGCCAACCUUGAAAUACCACCCUUAUGCUACUGAAGUACUAACGGAUACCUUUAUGAGGUAUUUGAACAGUGUCAGAUGGGCAGUUUGACUGGGGCGGUCGCCUCCCAAAUAGUAACGGAGGCGUACAAAGGUUCCCUCAGCGUGAGUGGCAACCACGCGUAGAGUAUAAAGGCAUAAGGGAGCCUGACUGUGAGACUGACAAGUCGAGCAGAUGCGAAAGCAGGUCUUAGUGAUCCUAUCUCUCCGUAUGGAAGGGAGAUAGCUCAACGGAUAAAAGGUACUCCGGGGAUAACAGGCUUAUAGCUUCCAAGAGUUCAUAUCGACGAAGCUGUUUGGCACCUCGAUGUCGGCUCAUCACAUCCUGGGGCUGAAGCAGGUCCCAAGGGUUCGGCUGUUCGCCGAUUAAAGUGGUACGCGAGCUGGGUUCAGAACGUCGUGAGACAGUUCGGUCCCUAUCCUUCGUGGGCAUUGGAUAUUUGAAGAGAGCCACAUUUAGUACGAGAGGACCAAUGUGGACAGACCUCUGGUGCACCGGUUGUGAUGCCAAUCGCAACGCCGGGUAGCUAUGUCUGGAACGGAUAACCGCUGAAAGCAUAUAAGCGGGAAGCCAACUCUAAGAUAAGAUAUCCUUGAGACACCUUGAAGACUACAAGGUUGAUAGGUUACAAGUGUAAGUCCAGUAAUGGAUUGAGCUGAGUAAUACUAAUUCGUCAAAGCCUUACAUCU
rnacentral:rRNA from 1 species